CUUGGGGAAGGGCUUGAUGACGGCAGUUUGGUUGGGGUUCUCCUUCUUGUUGAUGUGGAUGGACAGCCGCUGCCACAGGUGCUGCCCCCGGCUACUCUUCUCGUUCUGCGCCCACGUGACAGAUUUUCCAUUGGAGCUGCGGAGAGAAGAGAGACAAGAGGACCUUGAAAUGAGGAAGAAGAUGGCCAGGAGGAAGGAUGCUAAACAUGAGGUCUUAGUUGCGGCACGUGGGGUCUUCAUUGAGGCAUUCCGGAUCUUUCACUGCAGCAUGGUCUCUUCGUUGUGGCAUGUGGGCUGCUCUCUAGUUGUGAUAUACAGAGAGUGACGAAAAAGUUGAUUCUUCUGAUGUGCAUAUACCCGGCUGAGGCUGGACAAGGUGUGAAAUGAAUGCAGUGAGAGAGAAGAUCAGUAAAUAAUUGACCAACUCUUCGUAGAAAGACAUCUCACGUUUUGGGAAAGGUUGGAUGGGGGAAGGAGGCAAAGAAAUGGUGUAAACACUAAAGACUUUGAGAUGUUUCCUGCACAUUCUAAAUCAGCCAAGUCUCCUGAAGCCUGUGUGCUCUGCAUUUCUAAGACGGUACUGCACAACCCAGAAUCCAGUCUAGAGGAAGAGCCAGUGACAGUGAGCCUUGGUCCCUGGGGAAGGCAACAGAAAUUAAGAAAACUCUUCAAAAUAGAGAAGCAGCAGAUAGAUCUUCCUCCGCUAAUGAGACCAAAAUGGAAAACUAUAAGUAGACAAGUACUUAAUGACACCAAUCAGUGGUCCAAGGGCAAGGAGUAAUAAAAUUUAGGUACAGAUUUAAAUUCAGAAUAAAAUCAAAUUCAUUUUGAGAAGCUUGAAGGGAAACUUCCUUGAAUUAAGUGAUCUGAAAUUUUAAGUUCUCCUUAUUUUGGUUUCCCACUGGGAUUAGAAGCAGACUAUUAGGAGGAAAUAAUAUCUUUCAAAAAUGUUCCUUUUCCUCUUUUUAGUCUUGCAUAUAAAAAUCUGUAUAAUUUGAUCUUAAAAAUAUUCAAAUAUCAUAAAAGUAAUUGUAUUUUUCUUGCCUUGAUCAAAAAUGGGUAUUCUUAGCUACAAAGUUUGCUAUGCUUAAUGGGUUUUAAUAUAUGUUAAAUAAGACUUCAUUUCAAGUUACCUUGCUGAAUUGAAAUCUGUCGAACAGACACCUACUGUUUGAGAUAAAAUUACCCAACUCCAUCACCAAUAAGCAUAAAAUCUUGAAAUGAAACCACUUUUCUUUUUAACCUUUUACUUAUAGAAAGUUUCAGACAUACACAAAGAGAGACAGGAUCAUAUAAUGAAUCCCCAUUUAUCCAUCACCGGCUUCAUUACUCUUCAAAAUGUUACCAGUCAUCUUGUCUCACCUAAACUCUCUCUCUCUCUUGCUCUAGUAUUUUAAAGCAAAUCCUUUACAUCAAGGCACUUUACCUGCAAUACAUUAUUAUUUAUUUCUAAUAGAUAUUUAAAAAGAUAUAUUUUAUAAUAUCAUAAUCACACCUAGUAAAGUAUUAAGAAUCAUUUAUUAAUAUUAUGUAAUACUUAUUUGAUACUCAAAAGUUGGUAAAACCAGUUUUCAUUGUGAAGUGUAGUCAGGAUGUCUCUGGUAUGGUAAGAUGAGGAAUUAUCACUAAUGUGGCCAGGGUUAUCCAGACAGGGACACUUCACUGAGAAGCUUCUUUGAUUACUUAUGUCUGGGAUAGAAUACAGCUUCCUGACUUUGUUUCCUGGAUGACCUAUGAUCACCCACCUUGCUUUAUUCUCUGUUUUCGGAAUUAAUGUUCCAAAGUUCUAAGUAACUAUUGUGAUUUGACUUUCUGUUUUUGACAUACACUCCUGUAUGAACACUUGUUCUAGAUUGCUUCCUUGGUUCUAGCAUUUCAGUUAACCUUUGAUCUUCAUUUUCUAUGGAGACAAAAUAAUCAAAUGGUAAGUCUCUGGCAUUAGUUUAGGUUAAACAAGUUUUGGUUUCUCCAUUUACUACCUAUGUGACUUUGGACAACUUUUCUAGCCUCUCUGUAUCUCAGUUCCUUCAUUUGUAAAAUGAAUAUAAUAAGACUACUUAUCUCAAAGAGUUGUUUGAGAAUUAGAAGAAAUGACCCUUUGCUGAGAGACUUGUAUACAGUAAGCACUCAAUAAAUGUUGACCAUUAUGGCCCCCCUUGCUUCCAGCCUUUGCAGUGAGCUUCCUAAUCCUCAGAUUCCCUCCACUCCUCUUUGUCCUCUUUAGCAUGUCCCAACAAACACCUCAACUCAGGUGUUAUUUCCUCUAAUUCUUAAAAACUCUUUGAGAUAAGUAGUCUUAUUAUAUGCACUUUACAAUAAGUUUCCAGAACUCCUGAUCUCUUGUUAUAUGGCUACAAUAACCAUUUUCUGUACAUUCACACAUCAAAGCUAAUUGUAAGCAGAGAAAAUAUAUAGCAUGUAAGCAUUUGAGAAUGAAGGAGAAUUACAGUUGCUGUUGCCAAUAUAAAAAUUUUAAAGUGAUAAUGAAGUCAGGAAAUCUAGCCAGGAAAAUGCAAACUUUGUUAAUCACACACUUUAGAACUUAUAUUUUCCCUGGAAUUUUUAGGUAGAGAGAUUAUCCAAUUGAAGCAAAAAAUUUUUAAAUGUUAUACAUUUUUUGAAAUUUAGAGAUUAAAGUGAUGGUACAUACUAAAUGUACCAUCAGUGUAACACUGUGAUUCUAUAAGCAAGAUACCCUCUUUAAUAUUUUUAAUGAGAAAAUCCCAUCUGUAUUCACGUUCUGUUUCUCAUUGAAACCAUAGGCCCCUAAACUGGCAACCCAUUUCUUGAUAAUGAAAAGUUAAGACAUCAAAACUCUUUCCAAGUGCUUCCCUGGUGGCGCAGUGGUUGAGAGUCUGCCUGCCGAUGCAGGGGACACAGGUUCGUGCCCCGGUCUGGGAGGAUCCCACAUGCCGCAGAGCGGCUGGGCCCGUGAGCCAUGGCCGCUGAGGCUGCACGUCCGGAGCCUGUGCUCCUCAACGGGAGAGGCCACAACAGUGAGAGGCCCGCGUACCACACACACACACAAAAAAAAAAAACAAACAAAAAAAACCCCAACUCUUUCCAAGAGUGUAGAUACAUGCUAGAGUACAGUGUCAAAUGUUUCGCACACAUAUGUUGAAGAAGAAGUCUUAGGGAAAUAAAAGAAUAUUUUGAAAAUGAAAUAUCAAAAUUUGUAGGAGGUAGUAAAAGCAGACCUUAGAGUGAAAUUAGUAGCAUUGAAUGCACAUACUAGAAAGGAAGAAGUAUCUAAAAUCAAUAGCCUAAACUUUUACCUUCAAAACCAAAGAAAGAAGAGAAUUUAAAUCUAAAGAAAGCAGAAGAAAAGAGGUAAUAAAAUUUUAGCACACCUCAAUGAAAUUGAAAGCAAGACUCAAUAGAGAAAAUAAAUGAAACUAAAAGCUGGUUCUUAGAAAAGACUAUUAAACAUUAUAAACAUGUAUUCAAGCUAACCAAUAAAAAAUAGAGAAGACACAACUUGCUAAUAUCAGAAAUGAAACAGGAUGAUAACUGCUGAUACCCUCAAUAUUAAAAGAUAAUAAAGGAGUAUUAUGAACACCUCUAUGCCCACAAAUCUUAUAACUUAGGUGAACUGGACGAAUUACUUGAAAGAUACAAACUACCAAAAUUCACAGAAGCUUAUGCAAGGAAAAGUAUUUCUGAAUGGGUUUUUGACUACUAAGGAAAUGGAAUCAAUAAUUAAUAACCUUCCCCUGGAAAAGAAGUUACCCAGCCAGAUGAUUUUCAUGUAUGCAAGGCUGGUUCAACAUUUGAAAAUCAAGUGCUACAAUCCAUCACAUCAACAGGCUAAGGAAGAAAAACCAUAUCAUCAUAUCAGUUGAUGCAGAAAAAACACACAUAUAGUUGUUUUAAAGUAUAAUUGUUAUGUCUUCCUGAUUAAUUGACCCUUUUAUUAUUACAUGGUAACCUUCACUGUCUCUUGUGACAGCUUCUCACUUAAAUUCUAUUAUAUCUGACAUAAGUGUAGCCAAUCCUGCUCACUUUUGGUUACCAUUUACGUGGAAUAUUUUUUUCUGUCCCUUCAGUUUUAGCCUCUGUAUGCAAGAUAUUUGUGGGUAUCAAAAAUUUGAUACUAAAUUUUGUAUGGAAAAGCAAAAGACCCAGAAGAGCCAACACAAUAGUGAAGAAUAAGAAAAAAGUUGGAGGACAGACAUUACCCAUCUUCAAGACUUCUUAUAAAGCUACAGUAAUAAAAACAGCAUAGUAUUGGUGAAAGAAUAGACACACAGAUAAAUGAAGUAAAACAGAGAACCCGAAAUAGACCCACACAAAUAGAGACAACUUACUAUGAAAAAGAACAAAGGAAAUUCAAUGGAGAGAAGAUUAUCUUUUCAAUAAAUGGUGCUGCAACAACUGGACACCCAUUUAAAAAACGAACGUAGACACAGACCUUAACACUUUUCACAAAAAUUAACUCACAAUGGAUCAUAAACAUAAAUGUAAAAUGCAAAAAUAUAAAACUUUUAGAAGAUAGUAUAGGAGAAAAUCUAGGUGAUCUUGGGCUUUGCACUGAGUUUUUAGUUACAACGCCAAAAAAACAUAAUCCAUGGACAAAAAAAGAUAAAUUCAACUUCAUUAAAUUUAAAACUCUGCUCUCUGAACAACACUCUUAAGAGCACGAAGAAACAAACCACAUACUGGGAGAAAAUAUUUGAAAGACAUACCUGAUAAAGAAUUUGUAUCCAAGAUAUACAAAGAACUCUUAAAACUCAACAAUAAGAAAAUAAACAAUCCAAAUUAAAAACUGGACAAAAGACCUGAACAGACACUUCACCAAAGAAGGUACACAGAUGGCAAAUAAAUAUAUGAAAAGAUAUUCAACGUCAUUUGUCAGCAGGGAAUUGUAAAUUAUAACAAGAUACCCCUACAUACCUAUUAGAAUGGUUAAAAUUAAAAACAAAAAACAAAAAAAAACCUGACAGUACCAACUGCUUGUGAGGAUACAGAGCAACAGAAAUUCUUAUUCAUUUCUGAUGGGAAUGUAAAAUAGUAAACUUUGGAAGACUGGCAGUUUCUUACAAAGCUACCGUAUGAUCCAAUUGUAUUCCUAGGUUUAUUCCCAAUUGAGUUGGGAACUUAAUUCACAUAAAAACCAGCAGCUAAAUGUUUACAGCAACUUUAUUCAUAAUUGCCCCAAAUAGGAAGUGACUGUGAUAUUCUGCAAUAGGAGAAUGAAUACACUGUGGUACAUCCAUACAAUGGAGUAUUAUUCAGUGAUAAACAGAUAUAAGCUAUCAAGCCAUGAAAAGACAUGGAAAAACAUUAAGUGACUUGCCAAUGAACAGAGCAGUCUUAAAUGCUAAAUACUAAGUUAUUUCAACUAUAUUACAUUACGGAAAAGGCAAAACCAUAGAGACACCCAAAAGUAAAGUGGUUGCUAAGGGUUUGGGAAGGGAGGAGGAAUGAAUAUAUAAAACACAAGGGAUUAUCAGGGCAGUGAAACUGUUUUGUAUGAUCCUAUAUUGCAGUGGUCCCCAGCCUUUUUGGCGCCAAAGACCGGUUUCGUGGAAGACAAUUUUUCCACGGGCGGCGGGGGGAUGGUUCAGGCGGUAAUGUGAGCGAUCGGGAGUGGCAGAUGAAGCUUCGCUCACUCGCCUGCUGCUCACCUCCGGCUGUGCAACCUGGUUCCUAAACAGGGUGCGGAAUGAUACAGUCCGCGGCCCAGGGCUUGGGGACCCCUGCUAUAUUGGUAGAUAUAUGCCUUUACGCCUUUGUCAAAAAUCUAUAGAAAUUGAUAAAACAAAAGUGAAUCUUAAUGCAAACAAUUUAAUAAAAAGCCAUUUAGGAUUUUGGGGAUACCAGGAAAGAAUGCAGACUGUAACAAGAGUAUCUAACUUUAUUAAAAGCAUAUGAAACAACCUCACUGAAGGAGGUACUGGCCCAAGUAUAUUUGGAAAUAAAUGGAGCCUAUAAGGCAAAAGGAAUUGCACGGAAAUACUGUGCUGAAGUCAGUGAAGCUGUUGACUGUGGGAAUAUGACUUAAGUAUGAUGAUACUGAUAUAUAAGUAUUCCUCAAUUGAAGAAUUAAGUAAAUGGAUAGCAGAUGAUGGAAGCCUGGUUUCUCACUGUUGGGGUGGGAUUUUACAGAUCAGCAAGGUGAAGAGGCUAUAAUGAUCCAUAUGUAAUAGAUUAGAACUGGAGACAUCAAUAAGAACUCAUGUUUAAUUUAAUAGGCAUACAGAUAAUUACAUAUAGAACUGUCUAUAGAUAUGUAUAUACACAGCGUAGUAUACACACAUACAUUUCUUUGCUUUCAUGGCCGAAACAGCCUAGUAGUAAUGAGCACACCUAGCAUCCAGAUCUUGAUUUCUGUUACCAUUCUCCAACACAAGUAACAAGGGCUGCUUGGAGACAUGGCUGAUUCUAGGUGCAGAAAAUAUUUAAAGAUGAGCUUGGAGCAUACUGUAGUACCAUGAUGAAGUAAGGAAGUGCUCACAGACACACACACACACAUACAAAUUGAUGGGGGAAUAUCGAAGGGGCACAAGAGCCAACUGAAAGGGCUCCCAAUGGACAAAGCAGGACAAUUUGAGCAACAAAAAAGUAUUAUUAGAUUAUAAUGUAAAGUAUAAAAUAAAUAGCCACAAGUUCACACUGAUACAGUGUAAAUAAAUAGUUGAUUAAAUUAAUAAAUGAGAGAGAAUCAACAAAUCUCCUCUAUGGAAGAAUUCCAAAUGAAUUAUGUAAGUAUUCCACCAUAAAGGAGGGGGAGCAAAACUCUAUAAUCUUAAAGUGAGAGUAUGUGUAGUGACUUUCUUCCAAAGAGUAAAGUGUGGAAGUGGGAGGGGAGAGGAACUUUACAAGUGGGGAAACCUGAUAAACGCUCCUUCAGCCAGGUCAUCAAGAUCAACAUCAACAGUCAUAAAUCGAAUCAUGCUGACAGUUUGCAUCCUUGAUAUGAUGCGAUUAAAAUGGUACUUUGCCUCUAUGCUCUCCCUUCCAAAAAUCUAUAACCCCAGUUAACCAUGAGAAAAAUAUCAAUCAAAUCUCAAUUUGGGAAUAUUUUACAAAAGACCUGACCAGUACUCAUUAAAAUUCUCAAAGUCAUAGAAAACAAGGAAAGUAUGAGAAACCAUCACAGCCAUGAGGAGCCUAAGAAGACAUGAUGAUUAAAUGCAAUGUGGUAUCUUGGACUGGAUUUGAGCACAGGAAAAGGACAUUAGGUAAAAACUAAGGAAAUCUUAAUAUAUGGACUUUACUUAAUAAUGAUGUAUCAACAUUUUAAUUAAACAAAUGUACCAUAUUUCUUUACAAUUAGUGUAUUAAAGAUGUUAAUGGGGGAAUUGUUUAUGUGUGUGUUUCAGAGGUAAUAGGGAACCAUUUGCUCAAUUUUUCUAUAAAUCUAAAACUUCUAAAAAAUAGUCUAUUCAUAAAGAAAUCUAUUGAAAAAAACUCCUUGCUUUUAACCUAAUAGAUGAAAAUUCCAAAUAGUUUCUGUUUUAACAAGGAAAUCAGAAAUUGUGUUGGCUUGGUUAUACAUUUGUUUUAUUACUUUAUGAUUGAUAGUGUGUGUCACUAAAACCGAACAGAAUUUUAUCACAUGAAAGGAGUAACAAGAAUAUGCUUCCAGCAAAGAAUGUAUUCUUGACAGAAAUUGAUAAGGGUUACAAUUCUGGGGCAUCUAAUGAUUUAAAUCAUUUACAACACAUGUAUUAGUAGAAUUUGGUGGAGGGUUAAUUUAAAUAUAAUUAUUUUAGAAUCUAUUCAGUUCUAAAAAGAAUAACAGAGGGACAUUUGUCACUUAGCCUCAGAAUGGAUUCCUGGACAGAUAUGACCAUAUUGCCACUCAGCAGUUGCUAAGCAAGUUAAAUGUCCUUUUCUCAUUUUUAACUCAGUUAAAUCAGAAUUUCAUCCCUCACUCCAUUGUAAACCCAUGUGCUCAUGAAAAAUAACAUUCAAUAAGAAAAGAAAAACAAAUGGCUACAUAUGUAGUUAAUACUGUAGGAUGAGAGAUUUUUAGAGAUCAUCUAGCCCUGAGCUGUUCAGUAUUGGAGCCACUAGCCAUUUGAUGUGACUGGUGGUCUGAAUUAAGAUGUGCUGAAGGUGUAAGACACACUUAUGAUUUUGAAGACUUAGUACCAAAAAAGAGAAAGAAAAAUAGUUCAAUAAUUUUUAUAUUAGUUACAUGUUGAAAUGGUAAUAUUUUAAUAUAUUAAAUUAAAUAUAAUAUUAAAAUUUUCACCUGCUCCUUUCACUUUUAUAAUGUUGCCAUUAGAAAAUUUAAAAUUAUACGUGUGGCUCUGUUGGACAGCUUGUUUGUUUUUUUGUAUCACUGUGGCCGCAGAAUUUAUAUGAUCAAUUCCAGGUUCUGUUCUUAGUUAAUCUGUGUAACAAAGAUGUUUCUCUGUUAAAAUGGGGAGAGGAGUUGUUUCAAAGAUGUUUCUCUGUUAAAAUGGGGAGAGGAGUUGUUUCAAAUUAUGUGUCAUUUAGGAUAGUUUCAGUUAGGUUUCGUGGAGUUUAAAUAUAUUUUAUGUAACACAUUCACUGCUCCCUACGGAGGCAGGAUCUUGCCUGCUUCUCUUCUGGGUUAAAUAAAAGAAGCUACCAUUUAUUGAGUGCUUACUCUAUCUAGACCAGGGCUGCGUUUUGUAUAAUAAAUAACUUGCAGAAUUUAUGGAGUUUAAUUCUCACCAAAAUCCUUGAUGGGUGAAGAAUCUGAUACUCAGAGAGCCACUGAAGUAACCAUAUUAGUGAGAAAAUGGUGGACAGGGUAUUUAAA